UACGUAUGGGGCAGGCGUUAUCCGGAAUUAUUGGGCGUAAAGAGUGCGUAGGUGGUUACCUAAGCGCAAGGUUUAAUCUUGAGGCUCAACCUCAUUCUGCCUUGCGAACUGGGCUACUUGAGUGCAGGAGGGGAAAGCGAAAUUCCCAGUGUAGCGGUGAAAUGCGUAGAUAUUGGGAAGAACACCGGUGGCGAAGGCGGCUUUCUGGACUGUAACUGACACUGAGGCACGAAAGCGUGGGGAGCGAACAGGAUUAGAUACCCUGGUAGGUCCCU
rnacentral:rRNA from 1 species